CAGGGUUUGAUCUAGGGGCUCAGAACGAACGCUGGCGGCAUGCCUAACACAUGCUAAGUCCAACGAGAACGGAACUUCGGUCCUUAUUAGAGCGGCGCACGGGUGAGUAACGCGUAGAUAACCUACCCUUCAGACUGGGAUAACCCUGAGAAAUUAGGGCUAAUACCGGAUAAGACUGGAGUUUGAGUGAAUUUCAGUUGAAAGUUCCGGCGCUGAGGGAUGGGUCUGCGUCCCAUUAGCUAGUAGGUAGGGUAAAGGCCUACCUAGGCGACGAUGGGUAGCGGGUCUGAGAGGAUGAUCCGCCACACUGGAACUGAGACACGGUCCAGACUCCUACGGGAGGCAGCAGUGGGGAAUAUUGCACAAUGGGGGAAACCCUGAUGCAGCGAUGCCGCGUGAGUGAAGAAGGCCCUCGGGUCGUAAAGCUCUUUAUCUCUGGGAAGAUAAUGACGGUACCAGAGGAAUAAGCACCGGCUAACUACGUGCCAGCAGCCGCGGUAAUACGUAGGGUGCGAGCGUUGUUCGGAAUCACUGGGCGUAAAGGGCGUGUAGGCGGAGGAGUAAGCUAGAGGUGAAAGCCCGGGGCUCAACCCCGGAGGGUCUUCUAGAACUGCAUCUCUUGAGAGGG
rnacentral:rRNA from 1 species